AGCGAAUCCCCCUACUCAAAGUGUUCCUGUUGUCCCUAAGGCUGUUGUACCUUCUCAGACAUCGACUGGAACACCUCCUGUCCCCAACAUUCCUGCAACAAGUAUUCCAGCUCCAAUCUGUUUGACCUCUGCAAGCCCUGAGCCAAAGAUUCCCGAGCCAAAGAUUCCUGAACCAGCCAUCCCAACAUCAAUCAUUCCCUCUCAAGCUGUUCCUAAAUCAAAGCCAGAAAGCUCUAUUUCAACUCUUCCUGACACUGAACCUCUUAAACCAAAUAUACAUAUGCUCAGUUUAUCAGAAGUAUUUCCUCCUCCUGAAGGAAGUCCACCUCCAGAAUUCACUGAUAUUCCACCCCCUGUUUUUGAUGAAGACUUUCCAGAUGGAGACUUUUCUGAGCAAGCUAUACCCACUCCAGCAAUACGUACAUCUUUCACCCCAGUUCCCACAAGUCCAGUUAUCUCCAGGUCCCCUGCCCCAUCCACCCCUCCAGCAGUAUCUCCAGGGCCCUUGGUGAAUCAUUUAGAAUAUACACCUGGUCCAGUCUCAAGCCCUCCUCCAGAAGUUCAUACUCCUACUGCACCUAUAGACGUGUUACUGGAGAAUACAAAACCUAUUAACCCAGAGAGGUCUAAAGAGGACCAGUCCUCAACCAAGCCACUUUCAGCCCUCUCAGCCUUGGCAAGAGCAGAGGAGAUGGCCUCUGUAAAAAGGUCACCACAGGAUAGCCGUAUAUUUAACCUUCUGGAAAGGGCCAAGAGAAAGUCCACAGUGAGUCCACUGGGUACCACACCUGAAAAUACAUUUAUACCUGAAAAUACAACCCUAGUUGAGACAGCUACACCCGAGAUACCUCUGCCUGAAACUCUCACACCUCUGCCUGAGACUGCCACAACUGAGGUGACCCAACCUAAUCUAGCUCCACCUGAAAAAGCCUCACCACAACUUGCCACAACUUUAGAAACAUUGCCUGAGGAAGCCCCACCUGUACCAGAAGUAUUUGAUAUCCCUAACCUCCCUCCAGUUGACUAUGUGGAUCAUACUCUGUUGCCACCUAAAACCCACCUACCUGAAACUGCUGAGGUUAAUGGCUUUGAUCACAGGGUGGUUACAGUGGUCAAACCAGUGAAUCCUCCUCCCCCGCCGCCCAGAAGGACUCCCAUUGUGGAUCCCCCACUUGAGAAACCAACUCAGUCUUCUGCCAGAUACUUCCAGAUUCCCACAAUACCAUCUGACUCUCUAGAAACACAUGGUAACAUAAUUACUCCAAAAAUCUGAAACUCUAUGCCAAGUGUUUGUCCACUAAAUAAAUAAAUGAAAAUCUUUCUUCUUCAGAAGAGUCACUAUACGACAACUCAUUCGAGAGUUAUGAAGAUGUUGAGGAACCUGAGGCUCCAGCACUUUCAUCCUUUAGGCCUCCAUCAGUACCAUCAUCAGCUUCAAGUACCAAAAGGCCGGUUUCAGUUCAUGAGGAAGCCUUCCUGAAACAGUUGAGGCCAAAACAACAGUUGAAAGAUGAUGUGUUUCCGAACAUGGAUAGAGAUGUGGAUUAUGGGUCUAUGAACUCUGGCUCUCCAUAUCCAGAAACUCAAACUGUAGUACAUCAGGACUCAGUGCGAAGCUCACCUGCCUUGACUCCAUCAGGGUAAGCCAUUAAAUUCAUGAUAAUUCAGUAUGGCUACAGAAAAAAAAAAUGUAUAUAUGUUAUCGGUAUUGAACACUGAGUGACAUUUUUGUUUCUGACUUUCCUCCAGGACCCUUGAAAGAGGUGACAAUGUCUUUGAAGAUCAAUCAGACAGUAAAAAAGGCAAAACAGCAAAGACUAAGAAACAGAAAGGGCCUCCAAAGAGUAAGUGGAAGAAGUCUUCACUAAAGUACUCCUUUUUUUCUUCUUGUUUUC
ensembl:lncRNA